rnacentral:rRNA from 1 species
CCUACGGGAGGCAGCAGUGGGGAAUUUUGGACAAUGGACGAAAGUCUGAUCCAGCCAUUCCGCGUGCAGGACGAAGGCCUUCGGGUUGUAAACUGCUUUUGUACGGAACGAAAAAGCCUUGGCUAAUACCCGGGGUCCAUGACGGUACCGUAAGAAUAAGCACCGGCUAACUACGUGCCAGCAGCCGCGGUAAUACGUAGGGUGCGAGCGUUAAUCGGAAUUACUGGGCGUAAAGCGUGCGCAGGCGGUUUUUGUAAGACAGAGGUGAAAUCCCCGGGGCUCAACCUGGGAACUGCCUUUGUGACUGCAAGGCUAGAGUGCGGCAGAGGGGGAUGGAAUUCCGCGUGUAGCAGUGAAAUGCGUAGAUAUGCGGAGGAACACCGAUGGCGAAGGCAAUCCCCUGGGCCUGCACUGACGCUCAUGCACGAAAGCGUGGGGAGCAAACAGGAUUAGAUACCCUGGUAGUCCACGCCCUAAACGAUGUCAACUGGUUGUUGGGUCUUUGCUGACUCAGUACGAAGCUAACGCGUGAAGUUGACCGCCUGGGGAGUACGGCGCAAGGUUGAACUCAAAGGAAUUGACCGGNGNGAGAGNGCGAGAGACGACGAGGAGAGG